AACACAAUAAACGCAUCUUUUUUGUUUCAGAGGCAUCCACACAGACAUCCACUCAGAUUCUUGUCCAUCACAAACACAAGAACCUCGGAGAGCAGCUCCAGUGGAAGGUCCGGGCAGAUGACAACUUCAGAACACCGCACAAUGAGGAGAUGACGGCAGCAGUGAAAGAUGUGGAACCAAAUUGGAGUUUCCACCAAGUUAGAAGAGCUUGCAAUCGAGCUAUUGACAGUCUCAAGUGCAAAGAGAGAGAAUGGAGAUAGAAGCAAGGAGGAGGUCAAAAGGAGGACAAGUCAGCAUGAUCAGCUCUUCAAAAAGAGGGUCAAAAUUGCUGAGAAAUUCUCAAUCAAGAGGAUCUGUCAUAUAUAAAAAGAGCCAAUGCAAACUAUGUCAGCGUCGAGGAAAGUGACGAGGACAAACCAUCUUAUUAUCAAGCCUCGCCAAAGUGGCGCUCCACUAGGCUAACCAGGGUGAUGCUGAAAUGCCAUAAAGCCUGGGAUGAAAACUGGAGGAGUGGAAUUAAGCCAAAAUUACGCACGAGACACUCAGCUGACUUUACUGAAGGAAACCCACCACCAGUCAAGAGCUGCUAUCUGGCAGAAGAGAAAAAAGGAUGCAUGUUUGUUUGUGGUUUUU